rnacentral:misc_RNA from 1 species
AAGACGAGUCAAUGAUCCAGGUCAAGGAUGAAAUUGAUGAUCAUGUCGAUGAAUCUGGCUCCUUGGAAGCCAUUCCAGCACAUAGACAAAGAGACAAACGUGGAUCGAUGGGGGUUAAAUCAAGAUGGAGUCAACCUUUAUCAAAGUUUGAAGUUGCUUCCAGUACGGUAUCAAAGCAUGGUAGAGUUACACCUACGGAUGCUAACACCGGUCCUGAAGCAAAGCAGGCGAGGAAGGCACAGAAAGCA